GACGAACGCUGGCGGCGUGCUUAACACAUGCAAGUCGAACGGAAAGGCCCUGCUUUUGUGGGGUGCUCGAGUGGCGAACGGGUGAGUAACACGUGAGUAACCUGCCCUUGACUUUGGGAUAACUUCAGGAAACUGGGGCUAAUACCGGAUAGGAGCUCCUGCUGCAUGGUGGGGGUUGGAAAGUUUCGGCGGUUGGGGAUGGACUCGCGGCUUAUCAGCUUGUUGGUGGGGUAGUGGCUUACCAAGGCUUUGACGGGUAGCCGGCCUGAGAGGGUGACCGGCAACAUUGGGACUGAGAUACGGCCCAGACUCCUACGGGAGGCAGCAGUGGGGAAUAUGGCACAAUGGGCGGAAGCCUGAUGCAGCAACGCCGCGUGCGGGAUGACGGCCUUCGGGUUGUAACCCGCUUUCGCCUGUGACGAAGCGUGAGUGACGGUAAUGGGUAAAGAAGCACCGGCUAACUACGUG
rnacentral:rRNA from 1 species